ACGUAGGGGGCAAGCGUUGUCCGGAAUCAUUGGGCGUAAAGCGAGCGUAGGCGGCCCGAUAAGUCUGCUGUAAAAGUCAACGGCUCAACCGUUGAAAGCCGGUGGAUACUGUCGGGCUAGAGUUCGGAAGAGGCAAGUGGAAUUCCUGGUGUAGCGGUGGAAUGCGCAGAUAUCAGGAGGAACACCUAUAGCGAAGGCAGCUUGCUGGGACGAUACUGACGCUAAGGCUCGAAAGCGUGGGGAGCGAACAGGA
rnacentral:rRNA from 1 species